AGUGAACGCUGGCGGUAGGCCUAACACAUGCAAGUCGAACGGCAGCACAGUAAGAGCUUGCUCUUACGGGUGGCGAGUGGCGGACGGGUGAGGAAUACAUCGGAAUCUACUUUUUCGUGGGGGAUAACGUAGGGAAACUUACGCUAAUACCGCAUACGACCUACGGGUGAAAGCAGUGGAUCUUCGGACCUUGCGCGAUUGAAUGAGCCGAUGUCGGAUUAGCUAGUUGGCGGGGUAAAGGCCCACCAAGGCGACGAUCCGUAGCUGGUCUGAGAGGAUGAUCAGCCACACUGGAACGGAGACACGGACCAGACUCCUACGGGAGGAAGCAGUGGGGAAUAUUGGACAAUGGGCGCAAGCCUGAUCCAGCAAUACCGCGUGGGUGAAGAAGGCGUUAGGGUUGUAAAGCCCUUUUGUUGGGAAAGAAAAGCAGCAGGUUAAUACCGCGCUGUUGUGACGGUACCCAAAGAAUAAGCACCGGCUAACUUCGUG
rnacentral:rRNA from 1 species